UCGCAUCUCAACGCAAGUUGGACGUUGAAGGCGUGCUGGUGACGAGCCAGCUCCUUUUAAACGCAUUGCAGAGCUUGCGCUGUUUGCUGGCUUUGGUUUGAUAAUCGUUAUCUGUGCCUUUGCUGGACGGCUUCUCUGUUGGUCAUUUUUUAAUGACUGUCCCUCGUGGGCAUCUAUCGA
rnacentral:misc_RNA from 1 species